rnacentral:misc_RNA from 1 species
AAGUCGUAACAAGGUUUCCGUAGGUGAACCUGCGGAAGGAUCAUCACGAAAGGGACGCCACAAGGCGCACCACAACACUGUGUUGCCGAGCGAUGAGUGUAGCAUGGCAAGCGCCUGCCACACAUGUCUAUUGACAUCAUGCAAACUGAACCAACUAAACAGCAACCAACAACUAACACAACUGUUAGCAACGGAUCACUUGGUUCUC